rnacentral:rRNA from 1 species
AUUAGAGUUUGAUCCUGGCUCAGAUUGAACGCUGGCGGCAUGGCUAAAACAUGCAAGUCGAACGUGCCCGCAAGGGAAAGUGGCGGAAGGGUGAGUAAUGCGAUCCUAUGUACCCCGAGGUGGGGGAUAGCGGUGGGAAACUGCCGGUAAUACCCUAUGUUCUCGCAAGAGCAAAGGUUUACCGCCUUGGGAGCAGGGAUCGUCCUAUCAGGUAGUUGGCGGGGUAAUGGCCCACCAAGCCGAAGACGGGUAGCCGGUAUGAGAGUACGGCCGGCCACAUCGGGACUGAGACACUGCCCGGACUCCUACGGGAGGCUGCAGUAACGAAUAUUCCGCAAUGGGCGAAAGCCUGACGGAGCAAUGCCGCGUGUGGGAUGAAGCGGCUUCGCCGUGUAAACCACUGUCAGAGAGUAGAAACACUGAUCGCUCUCAAAGGAAGGGGCGGCUAACCCUGUGCCAGCAGCCGCGGUAAUACAGGGGCCCCAAGCGUUAAUCGGAAUUACUGGGCUUAAAGGGUGCGUAGGCGGCUCCGUAAGUGCUUUGUGAAAGCCCUCGGCUCAACCGAGGAACAGCAGGGCAUACUGCGGAGCUUGAGGAAGGUAGAGGCCGUUGGAACGCUCGGUGGAGCGGUGGAAUGCGUAGAGAUCGAGCGGAACGCCAAAAGUGAAGACAGACGGCUGGGCCUUUCCUGACGCUGAGGCACGAAAGCGUGGGGAGCAAACCGGAUUAGAUACCCGGGUAGUCCACGCCCUAAACGAUGUAUGCUAGAUCGGCCAGGCUCUGACGUCUGGCUGGUCGGAGAGAAAUUGUUAAGCAUACCGCCUGGGGAGUACGGUCGCAAGGCUAAAACUCAAAGGAAUUGAUGGGGGCUCACACAAGCGGUGGAGCAUGUUGCUUAAUUCGAAGCAACGCGCAGAACCUUACCUGGGUUUGACAUGCACGGAUCAACCUCCUGAAAGGGAGGCCACAGCCGCAAGGCCGGAACGUGCACAGGUGCUGCAUGGCUGUCGUCAGCUCGUGCUGUGAAGUGUCGGGUUAAGUCCUCUAACGAGCGCAACCCCUAUCGCUAGUUGCCAGCGGGUAAUGCCGGGGACUCUAGCGAGACUGCCGUUGUAAGACGGAGGAAGGUGGGGAUGACGUCAAGUCCUCAUGGCCCUUACAUCCAGGGUUGCAAACGUGCUACAAUGGCGCGCACAAAGCGACGCGAGGCCGCGAGGCGGAGCAAAUCGCAAAAAACGCGCCCCAGUUCGGAUUGCAGGCUGCAACUCGCCUGCAUGAAGUCGGAAUCGCUAGUAAUCGUGGAUCAGCUACGCCACGGUGAAUAAGUUCCUGAGCCUUGUACACACCGCCCGUCAAGUCAUGGGAGCCGGUAGCGCCCGAAGCCGCCACAGUUCAGUGGUGUCCACGGCAAGAUCGGUGACUGGGACUAAGUCGUAACAAGGUAACCAAUC